rnacentral:tRNA from 1 species
AACGGUUAGCACUCAGGACUCUGAAUCCUGCGAUCCGGGUUCAAAUCCCGGUAG